UGCACGUGUUUUAUUUUGUCUGAUAAUUAUAAUAUUUUCUCGCAAUUCCGCACCAUUUGUAUCAGAUUUUGUAAUCAAUUUCUUAACUAACAUCUAUGAUUAAUUGCUUUUAACUCUUUAUCAUUUUAAUGAAUAACUUUUGUGAUUGGCUCAACGAAAGAGCGACAAUAUUUGCAUUUUUGUGUCGCGAAGAAUUUUUGCUGGUUUUAAAGGGUUUACACAUAAGCCCGAAAUUUUAGGAGUAUCAUUCUUAGAUGAGACUCGGAUUUGCCUCGGGGCCCGACAUCGUGGGAAAACCAUUUCUGUGCCAGAUUGAGUUAUACACCUGAACCCGACAUCAUAGGAGAACCAUUUCUGCAUCUGAUUGAGUUAUGCACCUGAACCCGACAUUGUAGAGGAACCAUUUCUACAUCAGAUUGAGUUUUGCACCUGAACCCGACAUUGUAGAGGAACCAUUUCUGUAUCAGAUUGACUUUCGCACCUGAACCCGACAUUGUAGGAGAACCAUUUCCACA